rnacentral:tRNA from 1 species
GGGUCGUUAGCUCAGUUGGUAGAGCAGACUUUUAAUCAAUUGGUCCAGGUUCGCCUGCACGACCCACCA